GGUUCAAUGGUCUAGUGGUUAUGAUUUCUGUCUUACACACAGAAGGUCCCCAGUUCGAUCCUGGGUUGAACCA
rnacentral:tRNA from 3 species